UUCUUCUUCUUCUUCUUCUUCUUCUUCUUCUUCUUCUUCUUCUUCUUCUUCUUCUUCUUCUUCUUCUUCUUCUUCUUCUUCUUCUUCUUCUUCUUCUUCUUGUUCUUCUUCUUCUUCUUCUCUCGCAUAAACACUCUCACGACACUUCCCAUUUAUCUGGUGACCCUUUUUAGGGGCCUCACCCCCCAGGUUGGGAACCGCUGGAUUGUAUUUGUUGACUGUGUACAAACUUCAAUGAUGAAUAUUAAUAUUAUAUGAUCUCACUUUGAACAUUUAAGCACAUUUUGCUACAUCACUUAUUACCACGUUCAUCUAAGCAGGUUCAUGGAGUAUUUUUACAUUCUGACUUCAGUCAAUGAUCUGAAUUCUCCACCAAUCACAAACGCCGCCUCCUUUCGUGGUUGUGGUUAAACGCGUGAGCUGGUAUCCACGCGCCACGAGAGGAUCCUUUCUGACUGAUCUAUUUCGGGUCCUUCGGCCUGAAGCGGAGCAGCUGCACUUAUUAUGUGCAAUGCAACGCGGAUCCAACAGGCCGGCGCGGCGCGUGCGAUUAGGGCCCGUAAUCAUUACGAAAUGCUAUUAUUCAGCAAACGCGCCGCCCGGAGUCGACCUCGCGGCAUCCCGUCCCUCACACGUGUUACAGGAAGUGUCUCGUCCAGGUGAUGGCCGCCAGAGGACCACUUCCUGCCCCCCCCCACCCAAAAAACAACAAGGUUCAGCUGAAAUGAAGUGCUGUUGUUGCCCCGUUGGAAUGCCUGUGUUGUGUCUUUGUUAUUGUUUAUUCAGUUGUUCCACAUGGUUCCACCAUGAAAUCAGCAGCAUCAGAUUGAGACUGAAAAGCUGUGUGUGUGUGUGUGUGUGUGUGCGUGUGUGUGUGUGUGUGUGUGCGUGCACACUCUGGGAUCCAGCUGCGUUGCACACUGCAGAUGUUCUCAGAUGAACCAGUUUGUUAAUUCAACUUCGACUCUCUCGUACACAUUUACAUAACGUCAGAACGCCUUUAUAUAUAUAUAUAUAUAUAUGGGGAGGGAGGGGCUUAAGUUUAUUGGAAUUUAGAACCAUGACCUUCUGUACAAAAUAUGGUGCAACCUGAACUGAAGAGUGAAGUUGAGGCUUCAUGAGUGAAAGCUGCGUUCUCUGCAGUGACCAGCAGGGGGCGACUCCUCUGGUCACAGAGAAUCAGACGGAAGACACGGAGGCAAAGCUAAUGACAGAUGACGGACAAAUGCCAAAUUCAUGACCAGGCAUGCAGCGAGCUUAAGGUCAUGACGUGCAGUGUGUGUGAGUGUGUGUGUGUGUGUGUGUGUGUGUGUAGGUGGCAUGUGCCCUGCAUGCACACACACAUGUCUGCUCAGUAAUGUCAUUAAUAACCCUGGGUAUGAAGGCCUUCAGAGGAAUUGUCCAGAUGAUGCUUGAACGCCGUAUAUACGCGAAUGCCUGGAAGUGUGUGUGUGUGUUUGUGUGCGAGUGUGUGCGCGCUCUGCCGGGAUGGCACAACCCAUCAGCUUGUAUCCCUGGUGGUGGCAGAGCGGUUUUGGCAAAAGGUUCAGUCUCCUGAGUCUGGAAAACCAAGUGAGUGAGUGAGUAAGUAAAAGGAGUUAGUGAUUGGGUGAGUGAAGGAGUGAGAGAGUAAGAGAAUGAGUGAGAGAGUAAAGGAGUUAGUGAUUGGGUGAGUGAAGGAGUGAGAGAGUUAGUAAGAGAAUGAGUGAGUAAGUAAAGGAGUUAGUGAUUGGGUGAUGAGAGAGUGAGUAAGAGAAUGAGUGAAUAAGUAAAGGAGUUAGUGAUUGGGUGAGUGAAGGAGUGAGAGAGUAAGAGAAUGAGUGAGAGAGUAAAGGAGUUAGUGAUUGGGUGAGUGAAGGAGUGAGAGAGUUAGUAAGAGAAUGAGUGAGUAAAGGAGUUAGUGAUUGGGUGAGUGAAGGAGUGAGAGAGAGAGUAAGAGAAUGAGUGAGUAAAGGAGUUAGUGAUUGGGUGAGUGAAGGAGAGAGUAGGAGAAUGGGUGAGUGAUCUUUUGUGCUUUGUAUUUCUAUGUGAGAAAUGAUCUGCAGAGAACGAGAUCAUUUUGUGUCGUUAGCAGAGCAGCUGGUGGAUCGAUGGAAUGAAUCCAGGACAUCGUUAGAACCCAGAAGCCGACUUUGAUGUAUUUGUUACAUGAAUUGGUGUGUAAGUUCUGCCUAAAGACACAAAAUAAGUGAUCAGUAUUCUGCAGACAUCUGGUGCUCAUCAGCUCAUUUAAUCUACAUAUGUCCUUCAUUCAUUAAUAAUAGAAUAUGAAUUAUAUUUCUUAUUUGUAUAAUUUCUGGGGCUUAAUUGUUAGAUCUUUUUUCAACUCAUUUAACCAUUUAAAUUGUUUCAACAUCUUACAUAAAAGUCUUCUGUAUUUUUAAAAAUGUUUAUUCAUUUGUUAUAUUUUAUUAUUUUGCAGAGUCAACUUGCACCUUUGUCUUGUUUGUUCCACAUUCAAUAACUGAAGCCUUCUAUCAAAUAUCUCAUUCAAAAUACAUUUAUCUUAAUUCGGACUUUAAAUAAAACCCAUUCGAACACCCAACGUUUAAGAUGCAGAUGAGGAUGCACGAGCUUACUGCAGGUCUCGGGCUGAAAGGUGGAGAUGCUGCCAGGUGACCGUUGGGACAGCGAGACGACACCUGGUGGACGGAUGAGGAAGGACAUAAUAUAUAUACCUAUAUAAUUUAUGUACAUGAAGGUAUUGUGCUCUUAAACAAACCUCUGCACUAUUGAUCGCGCGGAGAGGAACGUCAUUGUGACGUCACAGCUGAACGCGGUUCUCCGGUCAGCUCCGUUCUACCUCGUCCCAUGAGGCAAACUGGAUUAGGAUAAACUAAUACUGAUUCCCGUUCAGUGCUUAAAGGUCUCCGCAUGACGUUUAAUGCAAUUAUGGCACAAAGACAAACCCCCCCGAACAUAAUUGAGUUUUACUACAAAGAAGAAAAGAGGCUUUUAAUGUGGAUUGCACGUUGCAUUUAGCGCCAAUAAGAAGCUUUGUUUGUUAAAGGGUGAGUUCACUCAAAUUAUGAACACAUGUGUAUCUAUAUGUGUAUCUAUUGCCUCGGUAUUAUUCAGCCAUGUGCAGUGUUUUUAUUUUAGUUGUUCUUUGAACUAUUCUUAUUCCCACAUUUCCCAGUAUUUGUACUUCAUUGAUGCUUUAAAACGUUUCUCUUCUGCAGGAUU
ensembl:lncRNA